UAGGGAAUCUUCGGCAAUGGACGGAAGUCUGACCGAGCAACGCCGCGUGAGUGAAGAAGGUUUUCGGAUCGUAAAGCUCUGUUGUUAGAGAAGAACGUUGGUAGGAGUGGAAAAUCUACCAAGUGACGGUAACUAACCAGAAAGGGACGGCUAACUACGUGCCAGCAGCCGCGGUAAUACGUAGGUCCCGAGCGUUGUCCGGAUUUAUUUGGCGUAAAGCGAGCGCAGGCGGUUCUUUAAGUCAGAAGUUAAAGGCAGUGGCUUAACCAUUGUACGCUUUGGAAACUGGAGGACUGGAGUGCAGAAGGGGAGGGUGGAAUUCCAUGUGUAGCGGUGAAAUGCGUAGAUAUAUGGAGGAACACCGGUGGCGAAAGCGGCUCUCUGGUCUGUAACUGACGCUGAGGCUCGAAAGCGUGGGGAGCAAACAGG
rnacentral:rRNA from 1 species